rnacentral:rRNA from 1 species
GAUGAACGCUGGCGGCGUGCCUAAUACAUGCAAGUCGAGCGAACGGACGAGAAGCUUGCUUCUCUGAUGUUAGCGGCGGACGGGUGAGUAACACGUGGAUAACCUACCUAUAAGACUGGGAUAACUUCGGGAAACCGGAGCUAAUACCGGAUAAUAUUUUGAACCGCAUGGUUCAAAAGUGAAAGACGGUCUUGCUGUCACUUAUAGAUGGAUCCGCGCUGCAUUAGCUAGUUGGUAAGGUAACGGCUUACCAAGGCAACGAUGCAUAGCCGACCUGAGAGGGUGAUCAGCCACACUGGAACUGAGACACGGUCCAGACUCCUACGGGAGGCAGCAGUAGGGAAUAUUGCGCAAUGGGCGAAAGCCUGACGGAGCAACGCCGCGUGAAUGAUGAAGGUCUUCGGAUCGUAAAACUCUGUUAUUAGGGAAGAACAUAUGUGUAAGUAACUGUGCACAUCUUGACGGUACCUAAUCAGAAAGCCACGGCUAACUACGUG